GACAAUCAGUCCCCUUCUCGCCCUCUCUCGAAGGAGAUGCCAAGGUGAGGGUUGCUGAUUUACCUCUCUCAUUUUCUCGUUCUGACUUUCAUCAGCUGACUCGUUACUUUGAGACCAAAUACCGUCUCUAUUGUUUGUAUGAGGAUCCAUUUUCUUUCUUUUCUUAGGGUUUUUGAAAAGAAUAGGAAGAUAGAGAAUAAAAGGUGUUGACAUAUUUGAAGUUGCUGCAAUGUGCCAAAGGAAGUGCUUGCUUCCAGCACCACUGCGACAAAACAAGAAGUUGUCAUAUUUAGAAGAUCGACAAAUUAUUGAAACAAAUCUUUGGGCUGUGCUAAUAUCAUGGAAUGAUCAAACCUGUCAAUGAAAAUCAAUUCACUUGGAGAAACAUAUCCUUACGAUCGGACCGGAUCGGAUCGGUUACAUCAAAUCACUUGGAGAAACAAGACUUAUUUGUCAACUGUUUUUUUUUUUUUUUAACUUUGGUCAUUAAUAUCAUAUUGUAUUUAGUUUUUUUAGUUGCUAUUUAGAAGAGAUUGUGAUUGAUCUUUUAGUCUGUUAGCAAAUCUCAAAAAUCUCUACAUAUUUGAGAGACUUCUACAUAUUGAUUAUUGUAAAACAUGUUU
rnacentral:lncRNA from 1 species